GACGAACGCUGGCGGCGUGCUUAACACAUGCAAGUCGAACGGUGAAGCCUUCGGGUGGAUCAGUGGCGAACGGGUGAGUAACACGUGAGCAAUCUGCCCUUGACUCUGGGAUAACUUCGGGAAACCGGAGCUAAUACCGGAUAUGACAUCUGGCCGCAUGGUCUGGGUGUGGAAAGAUUUAUCGGUCAAGGAUGAGCUCGCGGCCUAUCAGCUUGUUGGUGGGGAAUGGCCCACCAAGGCGACGACGGGUAGCCGGCCUGAGAGGGCGACCGGCCACACUGGGACUGAGACACGGCCCAGACUCCUACGGGAGGCAGCAGUGGGGAAUAUUGCGCAAUGGGCGGAAGCCUGACGCAGCGACGCCGCGUGAGGGAUGAAGGCC
rnacentral:rRNA from 1 species